rnacentral:tRNA from 1 species
GGGUCGUUCGUCUAGUGGUAGGACGGCAGCCUCCAAACCUGCCUACGAGGGUUCAAUUCCUUCACGACCCGCAA